GUAAAUGGGAUACAGAACAAAAUAGGGGAAGUAGCAUGUUGUCAUUUUAACAGUAAUAAAUCAUAAGGCUUUUACAUUCCAUUCUGUUUUUUUAACAAAGAAAAAGAAAAUGUAUACAGGUCCAACCAUCUAUCAUACCCUGUAGUAUUUCAGUUAGGAGUUAUUUCAUUCAAUGUAGGUUCACAAGUACAUUCGACUAUCUGUCUCCCCUCUCCAGGGGAAACUCUCCCUCCUAUAUGCAACUGGUGGGGUUCCCUUGAGUAGGGCUAUACUUCCCCUGGCAAGGUUGGGUCUGCUUUGAUCUCUGGUCAUUGUUCAAGGUGUAUGCCUUAUAAUGCCUCUAUAUUUAGCUUGUGUGACUCAUGCAGGUUGGGAUAGGGGGAACAACAUGGGAGAGAAGGGUAAGUGGGGGGUCUGCCUAGUUCUGCAAUUGUGUAGAUUCUCUGUUAUCCCGUCACUGAUCUGUGUUAGUAGUGGCGUGGUUAUGUAUCUUCUCAAGGUCCUUAGGCCCUCUUGUUACUAUCUUGGAGUCCCUAAGGUGUGUCCUUCCAAUCUCGUAUCCAGGGUGACCAUGUGCCUAGGUAUUUAUCCCUUUUCCCUAAUGUUGACCAGUGAAUUUCUUCCAGCUCCCUCACUCUCUCCACUCUCUGCACCCACUGUUCUCUAGUAGGAAUACUCAUCUUUCAACAAUAUACCGGGAUGAGAGCAUUUGCUUCACCCAGCAUUAUGUUCAGUAGUAGUUGUUUGGGCUUCUCAUUAGUGGAGCUAGGCCAACCUAGGAGGACUUGGGAUAACGUGAGGCGGGCUUUCAAAGGGAUGAUCAGUGUAAUAUCUGUUAAUACUUGCUGCCAAAAGGGGGUGAUGUCAUGGCACUGCCACCAAACGUGUUCCAUAUCUCCCUGUUCCCCAUUGCAUCUCCAACAUUUAUCACUCACUGCGGGCCAGUAAGUAUGAAGCUGUACAGGGGUUCUAUACCAUCUGGUGACCCUCUUAUAGAAGGCCUCCUUCCUGGAAUUACUGACCGGAGCUUUGAUCCCUGCCUCAAGUAGGUGCACCCAAUCUUGAUUGGACAAAUAGAUAUGUAGACCUCUCAUCCAUUUUUGUUGGAAUGAGACCUCUUGCUGUUCUACAGAGCUUGCUUGGAGUAUACGGUAGAGUUUUGACAGGGUACGUCUGUGGUCCUGCCCUGGGCCACAUAUGAGCUCAAAGGGGGUUUUAUUUCUAGUCUGCCAGAAUGGCAGAACCGAUUUGUGUAAAAAAGUUCU